rnacentral:misc_RNA from 1 species
GUUUUUAUUUCGUAUAGAAAAUAUCAGAGUAAUUAAAUAGGUUGGUUACUGCCGUUUGACAAGUCAAACAUGCAGACAAACAGUGCACAAUGGGUUAAUACCCCGGAGGAAUCAUUGCUGACUCGACCCCGAGGUGGUUCAUUUGUAAUGAUCCAACCGCAGGUUCACCUACGGUUA